UCGGGAAUAUUGCACAAUGGAGGAAACUCUGAUGCAGUGACGCCGCGUGCAGGAAGAAGGUUUUCGGAUUGUAAACUGCUUUAGAUAGGGAAGAUAAAAGACUGUACCUAUAGAAUAAGCUCCGGCUAACUACGUGCCAGCAGCCGCGGUAAUACGUAGGGAGCAAGCGUUAUCCGGAUUUAUUGGGUGUAAAGGGUGCGUAGACGGGCUAACAAGUUAGUUGUGAAAUCCCUCGGCUCAACUGAGGAACUGCAACUAAAACUAUUAGUCUUGAGUGCGGGAGAGGAAAGUGGAAUUCCUAGU
rnacentral:rRNA from 1 species